UUCCUGUACUUGGUGUUACUGCGAAGGGGGGACGGAGAAGGCUAUGUUAGCCGGGCGACGGUUGUCCCGGUUUAAGCAUGUAGGCUGAUUAUCCAGGCAAAUCCGGAUAAUCAAGGCUGAGGUGUGAUGACGAGGCACUACGGUGCUGAAGUAACAAAUGCCCUGCUUCCAGGAAAAGCCUCUAAGCAUCAGGUAACAUCAAAUCGUACCCCAAACCGACACAGGUGGUCAGGUAGAGAAUACCAAGGCGCUUGAGAGAACUCGGGUGAAGGAACUAGGCAAAAUGGUGCCGUAACUUCGGGAGAAGGCACGCUGGUGUGUAGGUGAAGUCCCUGCGGAUGGAGCUGAGACCAGUCGAAGAUACCAGC
rnacentral:rRNA from 1 species